rnacentral:tRNA from 1 species
UCCCCCGUCGUCUAGCCGGCAGGACACGGCGCUCUGAACGCCGAAGGCGUGGUUCGAAUCCACGCGGGGGAUCC